rnacentral:rRNA from 1 species
AUUGAACGCUGGCGGCAGGCUUAACACAUGCAAGUCGAACGAGUGGGGUACGUGUGAGUUAUGCUUGUGACUGUGGCUUAUGGAGAGGGUUAACGACGGGAAACUGUUACUAAUUCCGCGCAGCAUAGGAUGGGCCCAAGUGGGAUUAGGUAGUUGGUGGGGUAAAGGCCUACCAAGACGACGAUCUCGAGCUGGUCUGAGAGGAUGAACAGCAACACCGGGACUGAGACACGGUCCGGACUCCUACGGGAGGCAGCAGUGGGGAAUAUUGCGCAAUGGGGGCAACCUGACGCAGCCAUGCCGCGUGAAUGAAGAAGGCCUUCGGGUUGUAAAGUACUUUCGGCGACGAGGCGUUACUCACAGAAGAAGCACCGGCUAACUCCGUGCCAGCAGCCGCGGUAAUAC